rnacentral:rRNA from 1 species
CAAGCGUUGUUCGGAAUUACUGGGCGUAAAGGGCUCGUAGGCGGCCAACUAAGUCAGACGUGAAAUCCCCAGGCUCAACCUGGGAACUGCGUCUGAUACUGGAUGGCUUGAAUCCGGGAGGGGGAUGCAGAAUUCCAGGUGUAGCGGUGAAAUGCGUAGAUAUCUGGAGGAAUACCGGUGGCGAAGGCGGCAUCCUGGACCGGCAUUGACGCUGAGGAGCGAAAGCUAGGGGAGCAAACGGG